rnacentral:rRNA from 2 species
CACGGGGGUUGCAAGCGUUGUCCGGAAUUACUAGGCGUAAAGUGCAGGUAGGCGGAUAGAUAAGUUUAAGGUUAAAGGCUACGGCUUACCCGUAGUAAGGCGUUAGAUACUGUUUAUCUGGAAUGCGGUUGAGGGAGACAGAAUUCCUGGUGUAGCGGUGGAAUGCGCAGAGAUCAGGAGGAAUACCGAAGGCGAAGGCAGUCUUCUAAGCCGAUAUUGACGCUAAACUGCGAAGGUGUGGGGAUCAAACAGG